CUAAAUAUUAGAAAAGUAUUAUAAACGACACGCGUAGAAACGAAAUUCAAAAGAGGUAUAUAUCCGAAACUAUGCAUUUGUUAUGGAGGCUUAACAUUCGUUAAUGACUAAAUUGGAAAGGCUCCCCGAUUCUAUAUUAUACUCCUGUUGUGACAAAAGAAGAAAGGAUUUAUUCCAUAAUGACGAUUGAACAGUUAGAACAUCGUGUUGCGAGAUUUACCAAUGGCCUUACACGCUGCAGUGCCGAGGUACUGAUGUAUGGGAAAUGUGUUGCAAGUAAAAAUAAUCUGAAAAAAGAUGACUGCUUGAAAGAGUUCAGAUCUCUUCAUAAAUGUGUAAUGGCCAUGAUGAAGAAGUGAUAUAGUUACUGUGAAGUUCAACAUAUAAGAAACAUAGAUCAUGCAAUAAACUGUAAUAUAAAAUGACA
rnacentral:lncRNA from 1 species